CAUUUAAAAUAACACGUGCACUGCGUGGGCUAUCAAAUCCGCUGCAGACUUUUUUUGGUCUGCCUCUAGUGCCUCAAGACGCCCGUCUAGAGUUAAGCUUGCAACUUGCAACACUCAAGACUAUUUUACUCUAAAUUUGAAUUAUAUCUUAGGUAGAUAGUGUCUAUCUAAUAAAAGGCUAAGCCGAUUUUGAUCAUUUUUUUGCAAGUUGAAUUGCUUGUUUGAGUACCACACAUUAUCGUUAAGAUAAUGUUGAAUUUAAUAAGAGUUAACCCGUUGAUCGCUACGCCUGUCGUGUGAGGCGUGUCAUCAUGAACCAUGUCACAAUGCACUAAGAUUCAUAUUGGGUUGUAGCUACGCGCGUCAGUUGACUUCUUUGGUGAUCAAGGGGUUAAAAUUUCAAUUAUGUAUAUAUUUUUGCACAUUAGGCGUUUGGCGCUUUCAUACCUGCUUACCCACACAGUGUGUGGCCAGUGUAUCGUCGUUACGAAUUUUAUACAUUUUUUCUAAUCUACUUACUUAUACAGUUUAUAAAGGUUUAUUUCAUUAGUAAAGUUUAACUACAAUAAUUUUAGUGUUUAAUUUGACCAAUGGGAUGAAAAAAAUAUCAGAUAUAACCUUCGAGCAACACCGGCUUCCGACACGUCGGAAGGGAGGAGCCCAAGCGAUAUCUUACCGUACAAAUCGUUCUGCCAUUUUUGCGGGGGGAAACGUGCACACAGUCGUACUUCUCACUCACUACAUACAAAAUCCAAUCUGUAAUGACGACACAAAUACAUACAAAUUGACACACGUCAAAGGCAAAUCUUGCAUACCUCGAACUCUUUGUGAAUUGAGAAUGUGAAUCGAAUUGUGUACGGAUGAGUCAUAACACGCACCGCGUUAGUUGUGUGCAUGCCCAGUUGGGCAUGUGCUUCGGCAGAGGGGAAAUAGUGCAAAUGCCGACUCCCUUCCCGGUGUUGCUCGAAUAAUAUAACUUAUCUUGGAAAAAAUAUUCUAGUUAAAUUAGCACUAAAUUCUGUUAAACGAAAAUUAACAUCAUAGCUUUUGUUAUAAGGUUUAAAAUACAAUUAUGUAUUACAUUUACAGAUUAACAUUUAUUCUGUUAACGUAAUAUACACCUUAAUUUCAUAGAAAAACAGUUUAAUGUUGUGAUCCUAUGAUUCUAAACAUGCCUCCUUUAGUGAUCUUCAAAUUAUAAAAAUAAUCCCUUUAUUUUUAAAAGGGUAUUUGGUAAUUUAUUACGAUUACCUAGCUCUACGUAUCUCUACUGAAUUUACAUAUACAAUUAUGUAGAUAAAUACAAUUAUACUUAAAUGUUUGCAUACAUUGUUGUAAAUGAAUUGUGAGAAGGGACUCCUGUGGAUUUAUGGAUUAUUUGUGUCGUUUUGUAUUUAAAAAAACCUUGUUUCACUUAGUGUUCUGAACAGUUCUGAACGAGUUCUUGUACUUAUACAAAGGAUUAUUCGCUCAGAACUGUUCAGAACACGGCUCAGAGGUCUCUUUUUGUAUGAAAUAACACGUUUAAUAUUGGUGAGCAGAAAUAACAAACGUCAAGAAAAUGACCAUACAUUUUGGGUCUAGAGGGAAUGACUUAAUUGUAUAUAAAGGUCCGAAUUCAAAAUGACCGCUUUUACAAAAUGGCGGCAAACUUUAGCCGUCUAUAUCAUUGUUGAAUGUUUUCUAUGGUAGCUACUUUCUAUCUGUAGAAACGAUGUUUUAUCCUUGAAUUCCAUUCGUCAAGUUAAUUUUCGAUAGACAAGUUUUCUGUAAGAAAUGCUUUCUAUUUUCUGCAGUUAAUCGUACCUUUAGAAUAUUUUAAUAAACAUGUCCGAUAAGUCUUCUAGAAUAGAAUACCUUUUAUAAUGUAAAUGUUUAUGUAACAAUAACAAUAGAAUUUUGAAAUCUAAAAAAACUAACUGGGUCCUAUGCAAAAAUACUGAGUUAAAAAGACAGACGAACAUAAUGAUUUCCAGAAAAAUUGUAUUUGUUGGUUGGCCAAACUGUAUUACCAUCAUUUUCAUACACGCAAUUUUAUAAUAACUUAAAUACAAUGAAUUUUAAACGAACUUUCGCAUACAGAAAUAGUGUUCUAUAGUUUUAAGUUCAACAGUAGUUUCAAAAAACUGUAGAGUUUUUGGAAAUCACUGUUUUUUUUACGCCGAUGCCGAUGGAAAUAAAUAACGUUCGACUGUGACUACAUAGCGUAAUGACAUGACUUUUUUGAUGACAUGAAGUUUUUUAUUUCUUAUCGGCGUUACCAUUAGUUUUUAGCGUAAAGCGAUUUAUUUACGAAUAUUAUGCUGCCAUUAAUAAUUUUCCCUUUAUUAUCAAUUUUCGUAUGUAGUGUCACAGACAAUUGAACUAAUAGACGUGCAAAGUGAACCAUAAUGCUUAUUAUAAAGAUAGAUGCACUAGAUGGCGCUAUUGUUUGAUUGAUUGGUCACUAGAGUUAGACCAAGGUAACUCUGCAACGACUUUUACAGCGCACACUGUGCAAGGGUUAUUUAUACGUCAUAAUUUCGAAGAGGUUUGACGUUUAAAAUAACACUGGGCUAUCAAAAUCGCUGCAGACUUAUCUUGGUCUAACUCUAGAUUGUAGUUGAACUUUUGUCUAUUAGUUCAAAUGUUUCGUGUUCUUAUAGUCGUUGAGUUGGCAACCCUAGAUACAAUUGAAUGAAACCACACAAACAUAAGGAUUUUAAUGCCCUCGGAUGCCUGUGAUAUGUUAGGGGUUCACCUAUUAUUCAGAGGGAGUAUUAGUAAUUACCUAUCGAUAAGAACUGGCAAUAAAAAAUGUAUUACAAAAAAAUGCUGUUAUACACAAGUCGCUAGGGUUGCACAUCCAAUGUUUAGACAAAUCUACAUUUAUUUCAACUGGCCUCUUAGCUUCUAUGUACAGUGAUAAGUCUUGUAAAUAAAUUAAUCAAAGCAUGACAUUGUAUCAAAUGAAUUUCGAUGCUAGUGCACAAUUAUGUUGGAAAUAGUAUUUAUAAUUAACUCUGUAACAAUAUAGCACAACACUGUGUGCUAAUUUGAAAUAAAUAAAAUCAAAUC